rnacentral:rRNA from 1 species
GACAGAGGGUGCAACCGUUGUUCGGAAUUACUGGGCGUAAAGCGCGUGUAGGCUGCUCAGAACGUCGGAUGUGAAAGCCCUGGGCUUAACCUAGGAAGUGCAUUCGAAACUUCUGAGCUUGAGUUCUGGAGAGGAAGGCGGAAUUCUCGGUGUAGAGGUGAAAUUCGUAGAUAUCGAGAGGAACACCGGUGGCGAAGGCGGCCUUCUGGACAGUGACUGACGCUGAGACGCGAAAGCGUGGGGAGCGAACAGG